GCAUCACAUCAGCCUACCAUCCUCAGACCAACGGACUGGAUGAGAGGACCAAUCAGACAUUGAAGAGGUCCAUUGGCAAGACCCUUGAUGGACAACAGGAGAGGUGGGAAGACCAAUUAAAAGAAAUUGUUUUUUCAAAUAACUGUUGUGUCCAAGCCUCUUCCAGGUAUUCGCCCUAUCGUCUGAUGUAUGGACGGGAGCCACGUCUGUUUUCAGAGACCACUGGAGAUCUUCCAGAUGAUGUGGACAUUGCUUCUCCAGAUAACGAGGACAUCGAGAAGUACGUCCAGGCAAGGGCUGAGAGCGAUGGAAAGGUCAUUG